ACUGUCUGUGGGGCUGUCUUGUCCGCUCUGGACUGACUUCCUCUCAGCCUCUGUUCAUAUAGAGAGACUUCUAUCUUGUUUAAGCCACUUUUCCUCUAAUGCUGGGGCCAGCUCAGCAGGAUGGGGCUGAAGAACGGGUGCUGUGGAACCUAAGGAAAAAUAGUUAACAUAAAACAAGACACAGAGACAUUUAUCUUAAGUAAAGGUGGGAGCCGGGGGACUCCAGGUCUCAGGGACCAAGAGCACUGCCUCAAGAAACCACACUGCUUUUAUUGUGCUCUUUAGAUGAGAUCAAGUGAGGAGUGGCUAUGGGUGGAGGAUACAGGGUUUGUUUACUAUUAUAUAAGUUCUUUUACUAUUUAGAAAGCCACUUAGGUGGUAAAGGGUUAAGCUCUUACUCUGACCUCUAGGCACAUAACAGUUCUUAAGCUUAAGUCACUUAAGUCAUUUACCAGCACUGUGACUGUUUUUCCAAGAAGGAAGAUGGGAUAAAGUAAGACAAGGAGAUGGGAUAAAGAAGGACAAGAUGGAGUUUUCAAGGAAACAUGUCUUGCAACACUCUAAGCUAAAAUCACCUUACUUACCAAAUCACCUAAUUGCUCUGUAUCUCUGCGAUGGAUUUCCUGAAACUAAAACCUGCCUUUCCCCCUCCCCCCCAUCCCAAAAGGGUUAAGGGAACAAUUUGGAGUUUAUAUUUAAGGACCCUCCGAGUUCCAAGAGGCAGGAACAAGGUCCUUGAUGGGAGAAAUAAGUUGAGUGACAGCUGUAUCCUUAGUGACUCAGGGUCUCAAAGAAAAGUUUUCAGUUGACAGGUGUGUGAAGGAAGGUACACAGGUGAGAAGUAGAGGGGAUUGGAGGGAGUGAAGACAGAGCUUCCCUUCUUUCUGAUUUGCCAUUUUACAAGUCUUAUCUAUAGAAGGAGGUCAGUCCUCAGCAGUUUACAUGCAAGUGCCGUGUAAACUGUCAAAUGUCCUGCAUAUGUUAUUUACUGAGCCGUUGGUUAUAUACGGGAUGUCGUUGCAGAUACUUUAGGACAGCUACCCCAGGUGGCCCUGCUAAACUUUAAUAGGUGUUAUAAGUGAGAAAAAUAUCCUUGUGUCAGAUAAGUUUGGAAAAUGUCCUGUUAGGAAAAGAACUAGGUGUCUUUAUUACAGGCCUGCUUGGUGUACCUUGAAGCUGUGAAUGUACACUGUAAAUGCCUAAGAAAGGGGCUGGGUGUGUGUGUUGGGGGGGGGUAGGCCACAUGGUAAUAUUCUUUAUACCCCUGGGUGUUCAUCUUGAAGACAAAAUAGGCUUGGGGAAAUGCAGCUUUAUAGGGGGAACCACAUAAUAUAGAAAAGUGCUCAUUUAGUACCUGCCAGAUGCAAGGUCCUGGAUCCCUACAUAAAAUGGGAGGCCUGGGAGUUCCUGUUGUGGCCCAGCAGUUAACGAACCCAGCUAGUAUCCAUAAGGACGUGAGUUCAACCCCUGGCCUCACUCAGUGGCAAGGCCAGGGAUCGAACCUGCAACUUCAUGGUUCCUAGUCAGAUUCGUUAACCACUGUGUCACGACGGGAACUCCCAUUUCCACUUUUUAAACAUUUAUCACCCGCGUUACCUGCUUAUCUGUGAUCACCUUCUUUUGGACCUGUUUCUUACCCCAGAGCAGCAGCCCUAUGAGGACGUAGGCUCUGGCUAGUUCACUGCUGGAUCCCCAGCCUGGCGUGUAAGAGGUCCUCCAUCAAUCUCUGUUGAAUGACUGAAUAAAUGAAUGAAUGAAUCACAGUUACCUCAGUGAUAAAUUAAGGCUGUUAUUAUCUGCCUUCCCAGAGUUAUUACAAAGCCAGACACUUUGAAGGAAAUGAGGAAAAAAAAAAAAAGAGAGAACUUCCUGGCAAAGAUGUAUGUCUUUGUAUGCAAUAUUUGGGUAGUUGCAGUACAGUACAAGAAAAACAGCCAUAUUUCCUGUCCUCUAGGGAUUUGUAAUCUGUAAAGUACUCUGACCCUGGAAAUGCCUGAUAGUACACAUCUGGAAUUGUUUGUGGCAGAGGAUGAGGCACAUAGACAAAUAUUCUGUAUUAUGGGAAAGGCACAGGCUUUACCGGAUAUAUAUGGACGGAGUCAAGUGCUCACAUCCUUUGGGAUAAGUGGGAAUGUGGACAUGAUAAUCCAGGUGAAGCAGAAGCUCUCUGGCUGUGACCAGUUCCACAGCGGGACCAGUACCUCCUGGGUCAGCAGCUCUGCCUCCAUUCAGAAAAUAAACAUUGUAAAGUCAGGAAGGUCCGUGGCUUUUGUCAUGUGGGAAGCUAAUUAUGAAUCUGGGGUUCAUUUCUUAAAAUAUCUUCCCUCCCACGUCUUCUGUCCUUCCACUCCCUCCUCUUGUUUUCUAGGUUCUUUUUCUUAGAAGGAGAGGGAGAGAGCCUAGGUAGACCAGAUAUCUGUCUGCGAUACUGUCUUCCUCUUCUGCCUUCCGCUAAAGUUGGGAGGUUGGUGAGGCUCUAGUAGAGAACGAAGGACUCUUGGAGCUAAAGCUUCAUCUCUCUGGUUGGGAGAAAUGUCUUCUGGCUGCUGGUGGCCAAGAUGUGAAUUUUAAAGUUGUACACUGUGUGUGUUUGUAGGUGUGUGUGUUUAAUGGAUCGUAGUUGUGCACUUAGGAUGAAAGGCAUACCUGGCUUUGAUUUAUGAAUUAAACAGUGGUCAGUUGGUAGUUCAUUUUAAGACUGUUGAUUUUGAAGAGUGACCACACACACAACAAAAUCUUUAAAUUGUUCACAUACCUAAAGUUAAUAAGACUCAGGAUUUCUGACAGCACAUUUCUCAUUUUCUUCUUUCUGCAUUUAACCAGGGCUAAACUGCUCACAAAGAGAAAAUCACAGGUUUUGGGAAAUAGGCAGCAGAUAGUUUUCCAAAAAAAAAAUCAACAGUUUUAAUAAAAUGUGGUUUCAUGAAUUGGAAUUUCUUAGUUGUUUUGGCCCCAACUUCCUUAGAUAUUGUAAUUCCCCUCCUUUAUCUCCCCCAUUUGGGGAAGAAAGAAAUCCGUGUGGAAUGCAGUGAUUUAAGAGCUUAGGGCAGUGGAGAGUAGCCUGGGGGUGAUCACAUGGUAGGACUUGCCUCCCAAAGCCAGGCCUUCUGAAGGGUCUGAAUGCCGAUUACUGCAGCUAAAGAAAAGAGCCCUGGGAAGAAAGUGCUUCCCACUGGCCCCAGGCCUGCCCGGUUCUCACAGGCUAGAGGUGGCCCCGUGCAUUUUACUCAGCAUCCCCUGUGAAUGUGACAGCGAAGGAUUCUGGUGAAGUUGUCUGUCUUUCCUGAAAGAAGGCUUUCUUAGGCUCAUCAAGUACCCGCAUUCUUGCCUCUUGAGCACUGAUGUGAGUGGAGCGGGGCCCCUGUUUCUCAGGGAGGCAGUGAACUUGCUCCACCUUCCCUGACUGGCAAUACAGUUGUUCCCCAUCUAUCACCACCACCCACUCCCAGCCCUAAGGGGAGCAGCAUGCUUGCUCAGUAGGCUGUCCUGGAGGACAGAGACAAGGCGGGACCAAGAAAGGUCCAUUCUUCUCUGCUCGCCACCCCUGUCACUGGCUUGGGUGUGGAAAGUGAGAAGGUGCAUACAUCAUCAUUAGCUGAAGACGGCAAGGACAAUUAGCAAGUUAAUGAAUUGUGGUGGGGGGCAGGGGGGACCCUCUCCUCUCAGUGCCCACUAUUUAAGAAUGAUGCCUUGGUCACCAACAUUGAUGGAAUAGUGGUCAUUCCCACCUCUGCGUUUUCCUUUGAUAACCCACUUGUCCAACUCACCUGGCAUGAAUGUUAAUUCCACACAUGGAAGUGUAUGGUUUGUGGCUCCCAGCAUUUUUAAGCAUUAAAAACCUGUUCUGGUACGUGUAUAGAAAGUGUAUUGAGGGAGUUCCCAUUAUAGUGCAGUGGAAACCAAUCCGACUAGUAUCCUUGAUGCUGGGUCAAUCCCUGGCCUUGCUCAGUGGGUUAAGGAUCCAGCGUUGCGGUGAGCUGUGGUGUAGGUUGUAGACACGGUUGGGAUCUGGUGUUGCUGUGACUGUGGUGUAGGCUGGCAGCUAUAGCUCCAAUUUGA
rnacentral:lncRNA from 1 species